rnacentral:misc_RNA from 1 species
GAUGAAGAACGCAGCGAAAUGCGAUAAGUAGUGUGAAUUGCAGAAUUUAGUGAAUCAUCGAAUCUUUGAACGCACAUUGCGCCCUUUGGUAUUCCUUAGGGCAUGCCUGUUCGAGCGUCAUCUACACCCUCAAGCACAGCUUGGUGAUGGGCGCCUGUCCCGCCCCCCACGGGGGCGCGGACUCGCCUCAAAUGCAUUGGCGGCCGGCGACCUGGCUUCGAGCGCAGCAGAAACGCGUACUCGGGGACCGGGCGCCCGCUCCCAGAAGCCAACCCACCCAGUUUGACCUCGGAUCAGGUAGGGAUACCCGCUGAACUUAAGCAUAUCAAUAAGCGAGGA